rnacentral:rRNA from 1 species
UACGUAGGGUGCGAGCGUUGUCCGGAAUUAUUGGGCGUAAAGAGCUCGUAGGCGGCUUGUCGCGUCGGAUGUGAAAGCCCGGGGCUUAACUCCGGGUCUGCAUUCGAUACGGGCAGGCUAGAGUUCGGUAGGGGAGAGUCGGAAUUCCUGGUGUAGCGGUGAAAUGACGCAGAUAUCAGGAGGAACACCGGUGGCGAAGGCGGAUCUCUGGGCCGAUACUGACGCUGAGGAGCGAAAGCGUGGGGAGCGAACAGG